CCCCUAUCCACUCCCCUGCCCUCUAUCCAACCCCCCCGACUCCUUACCAUGCUGCCUGGAGCACCGGUGGCUGGCAGUGCUACAGCCAUGCCUGCCAGAGCACUGGGUCAGGCUAUGGGUCUGCAACUGAGCUGCCCAGCAUCCCAGAGCAUUGUGCCAGUAGCGCGGUGCUCUGAGGCUGCAGGGGAGGAGGGACAGUGGGGGAGGGGCCGGAGGCGAGCCUCCCAGGCCAGGAGCUCAGGGGCUAGGUAGGAGGGUCCCGCAGGCCGGAUGUGGCCCGUGGGCAGUAGCUUGCCCACCUCUGUGUUAUCCUCUUGUUUGUGAAUUGCAAUGAAUUUUAGGUAGUGUGAUCACCUUAAUAUUAGAACCAGAAUUUUUUGGAUUUGCCAUAACAUCCAAAUGUUCAAAUGCUUAUUCAAAUCCCUUCCUGCCAUUCUCUGUCUUCAGCUUCUUGCCUGGAAAUGGCUUCAGCCUAAUUGUUCUCCCGAAGAGUGGAAGCUGCAAAGAGGAAGUGUACUGUCCUCCCAGCCCCGGCUGUCUUUGAGGGGAGAUGCUAUGCCCCUCCUUCAUCUCUGCAUUCUCCGUGUAUUCAGGGGCAUUUUGAAUUUUAGGACUUACCCAUUCUCUCUUUGGGUAUAUCUACACUUCAGCUGGGGGCGUGCUUCCCAGCUCAGGUUGACAGACCUGCGCAGGCACAUUAACACUAGUGCAACUGGGAGUAGCACAGGUGGUGGCUUAGGCUAGCGAGCUGAGUACAAACCAGCGCAGACCCCCUAGGUAUGUACGUAGGCCACUAGCUUGCACUGCCACCUGUGCUAUCCCCAGCUACCGUGCUGUCUUUCAGCAUGCUAGCUCAAGCAGAGCUAGCGUGUCUGUCUGCCCACCCUGGGGGACGUGCUCCCAGCUGCAGCAUUAGCUAUCCCUGAAGAAGAGGAAUCCUACCUAUUCCUAGUUCCCCAUCACUGGUAGUUCAUUCCUGCUUUUAAAGGAGGUGGGGUCAGUGCUUAUGGGAGCACAGAUCCUGACUGUAGAGCAGCAGGUAACAGGCAGAGAACAAUCUUGGAGUAGCAGAGGGGAGUAAGCAGCAGUCUGCCUCAUACUCUGAUCGAUGGCCCCCUAAUAGCGGGGGAGGGGGGAGGUGUCUCCCUCCGCUCCCCCCCUCAUAUUUUUUUUUUUUUUUUAUAUAAUGAACAGCUCAGCUAGUUGCCAAGGUCUACAUACACUCAGCUUUGGAUUCAAACACUUGGCGAGACUAGCAGUGCACCUGCAGUAGGAUUGUAGGAGCAUAUAUCAGAAGACGCCAAAAAUUUUAGAACAAACUGACUCAGAGAUCUGCUCUAUGGGUUAUGAAAUGGGUGGCCAGCUCAACAAGUGAGUGUGAGAAUUACAAUUCUAUAGUCAUUUGGAAAAAUGGAGGCCGGAGGCUGCUCGGGUCAACUAAAGUUCAGAGUGUGGGAUGGCAAACAUUCAUAUCAAAAUCUCAUCUGGGUUGACCUACCUACGAGUCACUCAUGACUUGAGGAUGAGAUUGGUUUUAGUCUGAUUUCAGUAAUGUGCUUUUGAGACUGUCUGGGGUUUUGUUUUUGCGUGCGUGUGUUUUUUCUUUGCUACCUUGACUGAUUCACGAUGGGCUGGAGCUAGUCAAAAAAAAUACCAAAUCUUGAAUUUUUUGGUGAACCGUAUACACUUCUGUGUAAAGCUUUUGUGAAAAAUGUAUGCUGUUUGAGCAGUUCUGACAUGCUGACCACACGUUCAUGAGAAACAUUUACUAAUAUAUAUGGAGGGGAGUUAUCCUAUGUUGCAAGCUUUAAUAGUGUAAGCUAGAAUUGGGAUUGAUAUAGAGGCAAAUAUAGAUGGGUGUUCUAGUUGCAGGGACUGAGGCAGUGUGUGUGUUUGAACUCUGGUCUAUAGCUGUGAACGGUUCCUUAAACAUAAGAAAAUAUCCUUCUGCACUCUUUGGUCUCUGCUUGUCUUUUAUGAUAGAGAAUUUAGGCUGGAAGUUUCAUAAACCUGAAACUCCCUGAGCUGAAUGGCUUCUCUUCUAUAUUCCUCCCUAAUGCCAAGUAUCCCAAGAGCUUUCUACAGCUUUCACACCAUAAAUGGGUUUGUUAGCAUAUCCAGGUCUGUUUUUAAAUGUUAACUGCCAAACCUAUGCAUGAUAUAGCCCAUAUUAGGCAAACUUCUAUGGUAACAGGCUGCCCAAAAGCAUUGUGUGCACCUGUAAGAAGCACAAAGAACCUCAAUGUGGAAAUCAGAACUCGGGGGGGAAGAGCACCUAAGGUACCGUGGCACCUGUGUGGUCCUGGGGUCUGGAAAGGUCCUUGGUGUACUGUAGACAACCCCAGGGGCCUGGCUAAGUUAGAGCAACCUCAGAAGUCUGCUGCAUCUCCUGCAGUGGUGCACAGAAACUCGGCAGCACUACAUGCUGUUGCCUGGCACCUCACCUUGUGCCAGGGUGUGUAAGGGGAUCCUCAGGAGGCAGCAUUAUGGCUGUCUUACUCAGUGUCUGUGCCACAGCAACCUCCCCCAGCCAAAGAAGGGGAUUUCAGAGUCCCUCCUAAACUCUGGCCUCGUACGCAGCAAAAGAGGUUAGCAGUGAGAGUCUUGCUCACUGUGACUGUGAACACAUUUAGGAAAAUCCUGCUCCAGAUUUAUCAGAUGCUUCUCUUAAACAACUCGCUUUAGUGGGUCUCAUGAGCUUUAUCUUACCACCUUUUUUUUUUUGCCUGUAUCCUAGAGCUUUUUGUGGGACAAAGAUACCUUCGCAUACAGUACCUCUAAAUGUCUGCAUUAAAUGGCUUUAUAGUACUGAUGUUCCUUCGGCAUUUCACGCCAAGAAAUACAGCUCUCUUAACUUGACCUUAUUCUCGCCUAUCUCUCUUUCUACUGGUAAUAUUUCAUAUGGCCGUGAUGCUACUAAACUUUAAAACCUACUGUGGCAUUUUGUACGUUAACUCUAUUGCUAUUUGCUUAAUAUAACCUUUUUUGUGAUGACUGGAUCUGUGUAUAGCAAAAAUGAACCACAGUACAUAGACUCCAUGUACUAAGUUCUAAUAAUGUAAAACUGGGUUACAAUUUCAUUUUCAAAAGAGGUUUUCUGGCAUUGUGUGCAUAUUCUCUGCAUUCCUGGCAGAAUAAGAAAAAGGGCUGGAAGAGGGACAGUCCUAGGGCCACCUUGACUGAAGCUCCCUUCUGUUGCCCACCUGUCUUAGUUUCCCUCCUUUAGAUUCCCCAGAAAUAGUCCAAAGCCUCUUCCCAAGAUAAAUAUAGCCCUUGUGUAGUUCAUUUAUGGCCAAAGUCUUGUGCACAUACAUCAUAACAAAACAAGUCCCAAUACCAUAGUCCAGAAUUCCUUUAGCAUAGUGCACACAGCACAUGCAACAUACAGCUCCAGAGUCCUUCAUCACGCCCUGGCUCUCCAGUGCACUCCUCUCUUUUCCUUGUACCAAGGCAGCCACCCCAGCCCUUCCAACUUGAGUGCAAGCCUAGUCUUCCCUAGGGGAACCCCUGCAGCACCUCUGCUGGGAGCAUCCUUGCACGGGAGCAUCCCUCACUCUCCAUGGGCCUCACACAGUUCCUCAGGAUCCAGCUCUCCAGCCCUGGAGAUGUCAGCGGGUAAGCUCCUCAGCAGCUAUCCUGCCUUUGGCCUUCUCUGGCCCUUGGCUCCGGCUCUCUCACUUACAGCUAGCGGGCAAUUCCCUCUGCUGCUGAUCCUAACGUCAGCCCAGGCUCUUUGGCUUGGGGGUGCAGCCAGCAAAUCACUCUUGCUGCUCUCCUGCUUUCUCCCUGCUCCCAAAUAUAGUUUCCUAGUCAGUUCCUCCUUCAGAUUCUCCCUGGCCUUGUAAAGCCUCCAGGUGCUGCCCCACCCUCUUAAUUGGUAGCACCUGUUCUGGGACAGGGGAUCUGGACCUACUUCAUUUACUGGGCUAGCCAUCCUGUGACCAGGACAUACACAGACCUGCUGUGUGACUAGACAUUAUGGUGGUGGUGAGGAUAAUGUAGUUAAGGUUAUAAAAACCUUAUACUAUAUAUAUAUAACUAUAUAUACUAUAUAAACUAUAAAUAUAGUUAUAUGUAGUUAAGGUUGUAAAAACACUUGCUGUUUUUAUGUGAAAUGACUUUCUGAAACAUUUACCUUUUCUGGGCUGAAACUUGCCGUGCUUCCUCUCACCAACUCAGACAGCUGAUCUGAAACAUCAAACUUCAUAUGUGAACAGUUUAGUCAGCAUAUGUAUGUAGCUACAUUUGAGGCAGGGGAGAGCCUCAAAAUACAUUACAAAUGUCUGAGAUUGCAGGGCUGCCCAUGUGCUGUGGGUUUCCAGACUGUGGUCUGCCGAGCUGGCUAGUUGCAGAGUGCUUGUUUGCUCUCGUGUUUCCAGCUGAGAGCGUGCAGAUGGACAGGACAUUGGCUCUGUGAUUGCAGAUGGUCCUGUCUAUGGGCCACCUGCCCUCCUAAAUUGUGGCUCAUGCUGUGGAAAAGUUUUGAGCCCCUGUUGGAGAAUAUUCAAGUGGACUGCAUGCUCCAAGUGCUCAGGGGGGCACCGUUAAUGAACGAGCUAUCUACUUACAAGAAUUUACAAGUUCAGCUGCUGAAGGAGAUUAUAAAACUGAAAGGCUUAAUGAUGCUCCUAGGACAUGCAGCAAGCUGUUUUAACUCCAGACUAAGCAGAUUAUGGCACCAUUUGGAGCUGGUGGACUUGCAAAGCUACAGAGAAAAAGAACUGGCAAAGCCCUGCCAGCAAAGUUUGUCAACUAGAGGCCAGCUAGCUGUGCAAGGACUCCUGUACCUUGGGAGCUUCAGCCAGUUUGGUCUGGGUAAGAGUGCUGACAAGGUCUGCUGGAGAAGCUGUCAGAGACAAUGGCUUGCUAAGCAAGCCAAUGAGUGCGGAAUAGGAAUUAACUGUGUAGUUGGCCAGUGCAGUUUGUAAACUGAGCCAGCAGACGAGCUCGAUGCUUAAGAAUGUGAUCAAUUCUGCAGGACCAAAGUGCUUUACAGCUCUUCUGUUGAGCUGUGAUACUCUGCAGGAUCUGAGUGACAGUCAAACGUUGCAGCAGGUAGUGAAGGCAAAUGUAUCUAUUCUCCAGAUAACCACAAGUUUUGUUUUAUGAGGAUUCUUGUGAUCAGUUUGACUGCAGUUCAACGAAUUUAUAAACUCAGUUGGCAAAGUUUGAGACAGUUGUAAACUGCACAAGUCAAAUUUCUGCAGACUUUCCUUUAGACAUUUACACUGAAAUCCAAGUGCAGACACCAGAUAUGCAAGAUGGAGAGAGAAAUAUCAUUUAAUUGGGUUUCUGUUUUCACUUGUGUAAUGUUGCAGCGGGUGAAGUGAGCUGGUUUAUAGGAUCCCAGGUACAGGAAUUGCUGCAGAACUAUGUUUUGAGAUGGGACUUGUGUUGAAAAAUAAGGGCGAUAAGGCCAUUCCAAAAGGAGUCCUGUUUUCUGUGGAUGCCCUCCAGUGAGGGUCAAAGCCUCAUUUUUUAUACCUCUUACUUUCCAGGUGUCUGCUUAAAUACUGCACUAAAAACACUUGUCAAGUCACGCCACAAAGUGAAUGCUGUACAAGUGAGCAAUAUAAAUAACUUUUGAUUUUUUUUUUAAACUCUAGAACCAAUUCUGUGUGGAUACUUUCCUUGCUACCUGUUGGGGAAGGAGAGAAGAGAUUUGGAUAUGUGGUAGUAAAAAUAGAAAUGUUAAGGCUACUCCAGGUGCUGUCACAUGGGACUUGAUUGUGAAGGGAUGGAGUUUAGUAUAGAAAUGCAUAAUUUUCACACUUUUACUUGAGUGGCACAUUGAUAGUAGUCUGUUUUUAACAUCGAUGCAAGAUUUCUUUAAUUGUCAGUUUUUAAUUUGGUAUGAAUUGGAACAGAAUGAUUUAAAGAUUUUUGUUUCAUUAGGCAAUGGCUGUUUGCAAGUCUCCUAAUCCCCUUCUUUGUCUUUUCCACACAAGUGCCUAUAACUGACAUUGUGACAGGAUUACUAAUAUUGCUGAAGGACAAUGCCUGCCUGCAUCAAUCCCUAAAACCAGAGCGACUUGAUCUAUUUUUGUUUGUGUAAAAAAAAAUAAAAAAUAAAAAAAUAAACAAAGAUAUAUACUUUGUACCAUGUACCUUGUACCAAGUACAUACUAUGUACUUAUACCAGCAAUAGAAAGUAGAUUAGAAUGUGCCAUUUAUAGUUCAACCUUCAACGUGUGCCUUCAUUUUGCACCUUUCAGUUUUAAGUGUGCGUGUGUGUGUGUAUGAGCUUUUCCUAAGAAAACAUACUUCGGAUCUAUUGUUGCAUUAACUUGUCACGUGGAUCUCUAUUGUGUAUUCUCAUUCUUAGUGCUUGAAAAAUCAUUCCCACAACCAGGUUGUAAGACUUUCCCAAGUGAGUCAGAGUGGAGCUUCAGCUAUCAAUUUUUGGAGAAUUUAUGCUUUCACAAAAUAAAACAAAAAUAACUAGCCCUUUAACCAAUGGAAAUUUGCCUUUCCACAUCUGCAGAGGGCUUAGCCAGCAGCAGCAGUAGUAUGGAAUUCUGCUGUGACAGCAGUGAAAUGUCAAAGAAUCCUAUCACACUCAUGCUGCUGCUGGACUCUUCUGUGAUGAGGGGUGUAGCUUGUCAGGCCAUUAUACUGUAGUUCUGAAUAGUAGUGUCGUAGGUUGGCAUCUUAGCGUGCCCCAUCCUGGGAUCCUGCAGGCACCCCACCCUUCUCAAGAUUUUUCAAGAAUACUUCCCCAACACAGAGUGGGUUAUACAGUGGGUUAAGUUAUUAAGGUGGUCCCCUCGAAUCAUAGAAUCUCAGGGUUGGAAGGGACAUCUAGGAGGUCAUCUAGUCCAACCCCCUGCUCAAAGCAGGACCAAUUCCCAAUUUCCCCCCCCAAAAAUUGUUAAAUAACAAAAUAAAGUUCAAUACAAUAACGCUAAAGGUUCCGGCUCUGCCAUCUUCUAUGACUCUAGGCUGAUCAUCACACUCAGUUGUUCCCUUCAGACUUGGGGGCUCUCCAGCUUCUCCUGGGAGUCUCCUAUUAGAGUUCAAAAGCUCAGAUGAAGCAAGAACAUAAACAAAAUCCACUUGCCCUGGGCUUUAUAAAGAUUUUGCAUCCCUUCUGGCACCCUGCCCUUUGUGUGGGCCAUAGGGGUCCUCCCCUGGGCCUUCCCCUUGCUCCAGAGUCUUUCUCCCCUACCUAGGCCUCCUGACUUCUGGCUGGUCUCCGUGUUCCCGGGGAACAGGCAGUGAGAGCCUCCUUUCUGCGCUCCCUCCCUCUCUCUCACCUGAUUCUCAGGCCUAACUUACCCAGCCUCUGCCCACAGGGCCCAGGUGCUGCUUUAUACCCCAGCUGGAGCUCAGCUGGCAGUCACAGGUGCACUGGCCUCUUCCCUGUUUAAAGGGCCAGUGCUACCCUGUGACAAGUAGGCUUGUGGUAAGGGAAAACUCUUGAAGUUCUGAAUUAGACAACAAGCAUGGGAAGAUACUGAAGUCACCUAUGCAGUUUCUUUGUCGGGUACGAUGUGUGGCCUGUGUAAGUGAACAUAAUGGGUCAUCGUCGCUAGGGCAAAAGGGUAAUAAAUUCUCUCUGGCAGCUUAGUCCUGAGCCUUUCCAGCACAGAUGCUGUCAGCUGCCCUGAAUUAGUCUAGUAAUUGUCUGGUCGCUAGUCACUCAUGUAUUUUUCCAGAAUGGGGGACCGGUGUCUUUUUACUGAACUUUUCAUGACGUUCAUUAAUAUCCUGAAGCAAUGGACGCUUCCAAGUGGUUUAACAGUUCCCUUAGUGCACGUUGGAUUGUGCUAAAUACUAAGAGUCUAUUCCCUAUGUAAACUACGGACUUGAGGGCAAUGAAGUGUAGUGAGGUUAUUUGACUCGUGAGUAAGAUAACCUGUUACAUCUACAUACCUGGGAAGUGUGCCUUCAUCUAGGCCCAAAACCACAUGACGUGCUAGCGUAUGCUGGGGCGCAAGCAUGGUAGUCUGAGAAGCCUCAAUUCCUGUUUUGUUUUGUUUAUAAUUGUAAAGUGAACCUUUUUCAAAGAAUAAACCUGUGAAACUAUUUUAUUUCAUAAAUAGCUAUUCGGGAUGAUGACAGUUAAUACUUACGAAGGCAUGUCUACUAACCCGUCUAAGUAGGCUGCAUAUUGCUGCUCUGGGAUUUGGAAACUAUUCCAAAAACCUGUUGUUCGUGGCUAGUAAGGCUGCUGGGGCAAUGCAAUAAAUUUAUGAUGCUUCCAUCCUCUGUUUAGAUCUUCCUCUGGCCACUUCUAACAAUGGCUCUUGAAUUAUUUGCUCUUACUGCGCGCCUGCCUUCUCCCCACCCCCACUCCCCCCCAAGAAAGAUUUUUCCCUCCCACACCCCAUUUUAUUUCUGUUCGAGAAGCUGAGUCUAGGGAAUCUUGUUGCUGUGGGGGAGGAGGAGAGAGAGGGAGACUCUACAUCUGAGCUCUGCCUUGAGGGAAAACUUCUGACUCUCUUCUGGUGUCUAGGUGAGCGGGAUAUUCUUUUUUGAUUGCAGCUGGGACUUGCAGGAAAUGGUUGGGUGGUUUUUACUUCACCCCAGUCAGAGUUGUAGGAAGAAGCAAGCAAGGAGGAUGGAGAUCUGGAGUAAAUGGAUUUGGCAAAGCUAAGUGAGAGUUUACUCAGUAGCUGUUCAUCAGCUGGAUGAUGGAUGGAAAAUAUCCCUCUGAAGUAAACUACUGGGGAAAGGAGAAGGUUUAACAUUGCCUUCAAUUUUUAAAACUUCCAUUAACUUCCAACAGAACAGGUGAUCCCUUUUGGUAUGCUGUUUUGAAUGAGGAAGAUAUUGGGAACAAGCGCAACAGAGAGAAGAAACCACUCAGUAACUUUUCUGACUGGUCCCAGUGAUAGGUAUGCACUUCAGCACCCCUUUAACACUAAUAAUCCAGGAAGCAUCUUCAGCCUGCUCUUCUCCAGGAAAGGCGGAAUCCUAAAAUUUCAGUUCUGAGGUUUCAGGAUGAAUCUUAGGCAUGGUCUACGCUACGGGGUUAGGUUGAAUUUAGCCGCAUUAGGUUGAUUUUAAAAAUGACUGUGUCCACACAACCAACUCCCUUCUGUCGACCUAAAGGACUCUUAAAAUCAACUUCUGUACUCCUCCCCGAUGAGGGGAGUAGCACUAAAAUCAACCUUGCUGGGUCAAUUUUGGGAUAGUGCAGAUGCAAAUCGAUGGUAUUGGCCUCCAGGAGCUAUCCCAGAGUGCUCAAUUGUGACUGCUCUGGGCAGCACUUGGAACUUGGAUGCACUAGCCAGGUACACAGGAAAAGCCCCGGGAACUUUUGAAUUUUAUUUCCUGUUUAGUCAACGUAGUGAACUCAGCAGCACAGGUGACCAUGCAGUCCCCCCAGAAUCAUAGAGCAUAGAUGGUUUCUACGCUCCCCUUAUUUUCUCCGUCCCUGAGGUUAUUGCAGAUUAGAAGGCGAAAAAAACGCACUCAUGAUGACAUGUUUUCCGAGCUCAUGUAGUCCUCCCGCGCUGAUAGGGCACAGCUUAAUGCAUGGAGGCAUUCAGUGGCAGAGGCCAGGAAAGAAUUAAGUGAGCGUGAAAAGCGGAGGCAGGAUGCGAUGCUGAGGAUAAUGGGGGAGCAAACGGACAUGAUGAAGCAUCUCUUGGAGCUACAGGAAAACCAACAAGAGCACAGACCCCCACUGCAUCCACUGUAUAACCGCCUACUCUCCUCCCCAUGCUCCAUAGCCGCCUCACCCAGACGCCCAAGAACGGGGAGGAUCCGGGCACCCAGCCACUCCACUCCAGAGGAUGGCCCAAGCAACAGAAUACUUUUUGUAGCCACACUAAAAAUCAAACUGUUUGAAUGACAGCUAUGUGGCCUUGUCCUUCCCUCCUCCCCCACCCCACCUGGGCUACCCUGUCCGUUACUGCGUUUUUUAAAAUUAAUAAAGAGAGAAUGCAUGGUUUCAAAACAAUAGUUACUUUAUUUCAAAGGGGGCAGGGUGGUUGUCUUACAGGGAAUUAAAAUCAACAAAGGGGGUGGGUUUGCAUCAAGGAGAAACACACACAACUGCCACACCAAAGCCUGGCCAGUCAUGAAACUGGUUUUCAAAGCCUCUCUGAUGUACAGCACGCCUUGCUGUGCUCUUCUAAUCGCCCUGGUGUCUGACUGCUCAAAAUUGGACGCCAGGCGAUUUGCCUUAACCUCCCACCCUGCCAUAAACGUCUCCCCCUUACUCUCACAGAUAUUAUGGAGCAAGCAGCAAUAACAAUGGGAGUGUUAGUUGCGCCGAGGUCUGACCAACAGCACCAGCGAGCUUUUAAAUGUCCAAAGACCCAUUCUACCACCAUUCUGCACUUGCUCAGCCUAUAGUUGAACUGCUCCUUACUACUGUCAAGGCUUCAUGAGCCAUGGGAGCAAGGGGUAGGCUGAGGUAGGUGCGACCGCAUGGUGCUGCUGGUUGGGAGAGCAGAGUUACAGCAGAAGCGGUGGAGCCGUACACCAUGGACAAGGACGGCUAGCAGUCCUACUGCACUGUCUGCUGCGAAGGCACCCAGGAGCUGCUGCUUUGUAGCAAUGCCAGCUGCUGCAGGUGCUUCUGUGUCGAAUACUUUGAGGUCCUGGUAGGGCAAGGUACCUCGGCCAAGGCAAAAAAGCAAGAGCCCUGGAGCUGUUACAUGUGUCAACCACCGAAGUGCUAUGGGGUGUUACAGCACCUACCGGACUGGAAUGUACGGCUGCAAGACUUCUUCACCAGCGACAAAGGACAGGAAUAUGAGGCACCUAAAAUCUAAAGAGGCCCGCACAUUUCCCAGAGUCACUACCCUUGAUAGCAGAACAUCAAUGAUUGCAUUGGCUACUUGGAUCAUAGCAGCCCCCACAGUAGACUUGCCCACAACAGCAGCGGUCACAGUGAGCUGAGUGGGCUCCAUGCUUGCUGUGAUAUGGCGUCUGCACAGGUAACUCAGGAAAAAAGGUGCAAAAUGAUUGCCAUUGCUUUCACGGAGGGAGGGGCGACUGAUGACGUACCCAAAACCACCCAUGACAAUGUUUUUGCCCUAUCCGGCAUUGGGAGCUUAGCCCAGUAUUCCAGUGGGCGGUGGAGACUGUGGGAUAGCUACCCCCAGUGCACUGCUCUGAAAGACAAUGCUAGCCAUGGUAGUGAGGAUGCAGUCCGCCGACUUAAUGCGCUUAGUGGGGACAUACGCAAUUGACUGUAUAAAAUUGACCUAACUUUGUAGUGUAGACAUAUCCUAAGGGAUACAGUAUUCUCAGCUGACCAUUUUGCACUGAUUUUUAAAACAAUUCAGCCUCCCAGGCUCCAGCCAGACUAGGAAUAAAUCAAAAAUAUUUCUAGGAAAUAUCUUCCUUCUGGGCUCAGAAAUAUGAAUCCUUUUGAUGUGUGCUCGAAAUGAUGUACUAUAACAAUUGCCUUCCCUAACAACAAAGUGGAGGCUAAAUAGCUGGUAUAUGAAAUCCUGUAAGUUUCAGCGGGAGGGGAAACACUCCAUGAUCUAGAUAAAGGACUAAAACCAGAUUCAGCAGUAACUGUGCUAACUAUAGACCUCAGUAAGUCCCUCUAAAAGGACUACUCCCUGACUUCUAGCCACAUAACUACUCCGAUAUGGGCAGAGAGAACUUUUUUUCCCAGGAGAAAUGUUGAGUCUGGGCCUUCACAGGCACAAGUCCUGUCGACAUGAGUGAACAUUAACACUCCUGCAUUAUUGGCCAUAGUGGAAGCUCUAGUGUAGACUGAUCUGGGUGCUGUCACUCUUCCCUAAGCAGCAUGUCUUCCAAUCCUGCUGGAAAUGGGCUUUACUGGCAUUUGAUAUGCUGGCACCAGGCUGCCUAUAUUGGGUCUUCCAGUGUUGCUAAAGCCAUUGGAGUUGAACCAGUGUUGGCAAAAGUAGGAAACUUUGUGUAAAAUUUCCUUAGUGUAGACAAAGUGAUGUUGCCCCAUGGUGGCUCAGCGUGAAGAAAAAAGCCACUUAAAUAGAGGGUCAGAGGGGGAAUAAAUCAAGAAAGCCGAUGGAAAAUGCCUUGUUCCCAGGACACUCUUCUUCCUUCCCAUCACAUUUGUGCCACUGGUCUUGUGAUCACCUCAGCUACUCCUAACUGCUUCCUCUACUUUCUCCACGGGACCUGAUCACUACCUCUCUGGGGCACUGUGUUUCAGAGGCUUCCAUAUAUCAGUGUGGGCAAGACCAGUGGUGGGUUUAGGAAGGGAAGUGGUGGUUUCUCUCCCUCAUGCCAACCUGCCUGAAUGAAGAAUCUACCUCUUGGGGCUCCUAUUUGUCUGCCUUACCCACAGUCUGCUCAUUAAUUAAUUUGGGGGGGAGGGAUAGCUCAGUGGUUUGAGCAUUGGCCUGCUAAACCCAGGGUUGUGAGUUCAAUCCUUGAGGGGGCCAUUUAGGGAUCUGGGCCAAAAAUUGGGGAUUGUUCCUGCUUUGAGCAGGGGGUUGGACUAGAUGACCUCCUGAGGUCCCUUCCAACCCUGAUAUUCUAUGAUUCUAUAUCUCAGAUAGCAAUACUUCUGCCACUCCUCUCAAUAGUGGGUUAGGGUUCUGAUACCUGGCAAACCAUCAGGGCUAGUAAUAAGCCACUAAGAUUCAAUUACUGUACCUCGCCAUGUAUUUCCAUAUGUAAUCUCACCUUAAAACCAUACUCUACCCAUCCAUCUCCUCCCUCUCAGCCUUCCCCUGCAAAAAAAGAAGAGAAAGCUGACUUACCCAUGUAGAAUGUAUAUUCCUAGCUCACAGGCAGUGUUUACAGAUCACUUACACUUUGUCAGAUCUCUAAGGGGAUGAUUUCCCAGAUAAACGCCCGAGUGAAAUGUAUUUUGAUACAGAGGUUCCUUGGCAAAGCAUCCCCUAUUCUUUGUAAACAGCUCUCACUUCAGACCUGACAAACUCACUACACUAAAUACGUAUCUUACACAAUAUUUAUCCAUAAAGGAUAACAUGUAAGGUAGCUACAGAAAGCUCACAACUUGUCAAGAUUCAUAAUCAAUGUGAGAUGCACAUAUGGGUAAUAUGUAAGAAAUAAUGUACAGUAGGACCUCAAAGAUAGGAACACGAGAGUUGCGGACACCCUAUGGAACCGGAAGUCAUCAAUCAGGCAGCAGCACAGACCAAUAAAUAAAUAUAGUACUGCCUCGAGGCUCAGGCUUCAGCCAUGGGGGGUUGGGGUUGCAGCUGCAGGAUAGUGGGGGGCUCAGGGCUUUAGACCUGGGGCUUCAGCCCUGCGGCUCUGCUCUCUGUUUCAGUCUCGCAAAGGGUGCUGGGGCUCAGGGCUUCAGUCCCAUGGCUUUGCUCCCAGCUUUAGCCCUGUGGGGUGGGGUGGGGGCUUUAGCUAUGAGGGAAGUACCAGUUUCAGCCCCAGAGCUUCCCCCAUAGCUAAGCCCCAAGCCCUGGCAUGCCCACCCUCCAUGCUGAAGCCGGGAGCAGAGCUGUGGGGAGCCCUGAGCCCCACCGCUCCCCCAGGUCUAAAGCACUGAGUCCUGGUGGUCCCAUGGGGCUGAAGUCCGGAGCCCCCUGCCUGGCUGCCUGAGGGUUAGAAGCCACAGAGCCCCCAUACACCUGGUGGCCCCCUCUCCCCCAUGUGCCUGAAGUCUGUAAUUUCUUCUUCAGAGUUACGGAACUCUUCAGAGUUACGAAUAACCUCCAUUCCCAAGGUGUCCCUAACUCUGAGGUUCUACUGUAUUUGUAUUGAAAAUAAGGUUGAUGGACUUGGAGUAAAAGUUAGUCACCAGUAGAUACAGUUACAAACUUGACUAGUUAACCACACACCUCAUUUGGAACUGGAAGUACAAAUCAGACCGCAGCAGAGACAUCCCUCCCACCCCCCCCAGAAAAGCAAAUACAGUACAUUACUGUGUUAAAUGUAAACCCCUAAAAAAAGAAGGGAAAGCCGCAUUUUCCUUCUGCAUAAUACACCUUUGAAACUUUAUUAAGUCAUUGUUCAGAAUUACGAACAACCUCCAUUCUUAAGGUGUUCGUAACUCUACUGUAAGAUGUCCUGGUGAUGGCCCAUUCAGGCAGAGGGAGUUGUUCUCUGCAAGGAUCACGUCUAGCCUUGCUCCAAGACUACCAAUUGAAAAUCAUCAGAGAUAACUGCAACAGUGGAAACUACUUGGAGGUUAAAAAAAAAAAAAAAAAAAGGAACAUUAUGACAUAUGUUUGCCCUGCCUGUGAAUAAAGACAAAAGUCUAGUUCAGUAUAUGAGAGGGGGGAAGAAAGAUCCUCUGCAUCCUUUCACUGAGGAGACAUCUUGGGGAGUGGGGAUUUAUGAAAAAUUGGAUCAUUGUUCCUGUGAAGCCGGCUUGCUCUGCAACAGACUGAACUUGGGGGCGGGGGAGGAGGGCACAUACUUUAUUCGAUAGAGGUAACUAUUAAAUGUAGACCCAAGUUUGUGUGUUAUGAUUUUAUUUUUGCAUUGUAACCAUUUGUUUCCACUAUUUUGUUUCUAGUUAAUUCUCUAUUGUUUCUUACAUAAACCCACUUUAAAAAAAAAAAUUAGACAUGCUCAUGAGUGCUGUGAUUUUACUGGAGCAGUGAUUUAAGAUAACAUUAGUAAACUGGGGAACAUAGCUUUUUUAUUUUUAAGGACAGAGGAGCUGGGAUUAGAGAGAGUAACCACUGACAGCCUGGAUAUCACAGGGGAAUGAUUCAAAGGGGCUCAGGGACCUAUUGUUAACCUGUAAGACAAAGAUAAAGCUGGCAAAGCCCAGAGGAGAGUGCUUGAAGUAACAGGCUGGUGGCAUUAGGGAGUUUACACCCAGUCGUCAUAAGCAAGACUACCUGUCAUGAGAGGCAGGGGGCUAACACGGUGAUUUCCAGUCCUGGGUGCCUCAAGAACAGUCACAUGGACCUCUUUUUAUGUUGGGAUCUGAUCCUGAGAUUGGAUCCAUGCAAGCAGCCCCUCUGCUCAUGCCUACAGAGACAUGCCCAUGCAGGUCUGAUUAUCAGAUUGAAGAUUGUCUCUGCAGGGAUUGACUUGUGAGGAGUAAAAAUUUUAGGUGUAAAUUGAACAGCCUUUACAUAAAGUGUAACUCAGUGUUUCCAACUCUCGUGAUAUUUGUUUUCCGUCUCAAAGCCCCAGCUCCUAAAAUCAAGUGACUAGGGAAGGAUCUCUGCUUCAGUUUAUUUAAAAAAAAUCUAGUCCCUGUGAUUGUGGAGAAAAUCUUGAAAAUGUGAACAGUGUGUACCUUAAAGGCUAAAAACCCAGUGAACAUAAAGAAUCCAAUGAGUUUUUUAAAUCACUAUUUUUAAGCAAAUCUAAUCUUAUUUUGAGGAUCGAAGAAUGAGUUUUCAGUGCUUGAGGUUGGCAGCGCUGAACUUUUCUCAGAUAAUGACCCAUGAUGUCUAAAUUGGCAUGAAACGUAAAUUUAUUGCUACUUUGUGUUUGGUUGAAGUCUGAAAAACUUUUCCUCUUUUACUUGGUUCAUUUCAUUAUCCUGCUUUAUAAACUAUUGAGAUUUUCCAGUGCACACCUGAUGAAUAAAAAGAGGAAAAGAGUGACCCAUAACCUUUUGUCUAGUAUUUUUGACCCAUGCUAGUGAUUUUUUUUUUUAAUGUUUCCCCGUUCUAUCAAAGGGGCCUGAUAGUUUGUCGCUUUCUGAAAAAUCUGUCCUCCUCAGAUCAUCUUAAAUUGUCUUUAGUGAUUUUGAGUGCCCAACUUGUUGCUUCAAAAAAAUAAAAUAAUAAAAUCUUGACCUUUAAAUAUUAGUGCUAGUUUUAACUUUUAGAUUCCAUCCAGCUAUGUGGUAUCUGAUAUUUCUUUGUAAAAUAGAAUUAGUGUGGGGAAUGGUGUCUUUUCUUAAGGUAGCAAAGUAUAUAGUAUAUUAAAAUGCCAAAUGACUUCUGAGAACAUAAUGCUGACCCAACUCUGUAUUUGACUUUUCCCUGGGGAGAAAUGUCUUAAGCAGGUUUAAUAACACAGUUGUAUAACAUCCACCACCCAGACGCAAGGCAGGAGUAGACUAAGCAGAAGACAAAGGUGGCACAUUUAAAUCUUGGGUGUGUGUUUAACUUUCAUCAAGGGGACUUAUAUAGUUGCAGCAGAUACAAAAUGGCUAGUCAUAUACAACAAGCCUGCAACAGGAUUCACCAGCUGCAUUAAGUUGGGCAUAGGGGCUGGAACCGGGGUGCUACAACACUUCCUGGCUUGAAGUGGUUUCCAUCGUAUACAGGGUUUACAGUUUGAUUCAGUGGCUCAGCACCCCUAUAAGUGGGGCUAUUCUUUACCCUCCUCUUCCUCUGCCACCUGGAUUGUUCCAAACAUCUCUAGCUGUAGCCCUAGUCACUGGACCAUGCUGCCUCUCAUGCUGUUGACCUGAAUCAGUAAAUCCAUAAUAUGUAAAUCAUCGGGGACUUAGAAGUUUCCAGAAUCUCAAACUUCUCUUUAAAUUGCAGUUUUAUUUUGAGGUGUUGUACGGUACUAGCCAUCUGAAGCUUUAGAGUAAUUAGGUAGGUCUCUCUUCAUUCAUCUGAUAAAUAUUCCUUCACUAGUCAAAUGAACUGCACUUGAAAACUGCUGAAUCUAUCUGGUAUAAUAUAUUUAAAAUAGCCAUUUGUGGUCUCUUACUUUUAAGAAGCUUCAUCUUUCUAUUUGAGCCAUGAGCUCCUAUAUUCAAGGUUAUUAACUGCUGGUUUGUAGUGGCACCAGAACUGUAGGUUAAUGUGAAGAGAAGUUAUAAGCAUUCACCUUUAGGGACAAACAAAUAAAUUUGUUAGUCUCUAAGGUGCCACAAGUACUCCUUUUCUUUUUGCGGAUACAGACUAACACGGCUGCUACUCUGAAACCAGUAUUUAUCAAAGCUGUUGUAAAAGCCAACUUGCAGUUGUGCCAGUCCUAUCAAAUUUCUGUUGUGAGAAGAUAGUCUUUGAUCCUGGUCUUGAAGCAGUUGCAUUAAAGAACACACAGGGCAGGCUGAGUUAUGUACCCAUUCAGUAAAAAGAAAAGGUGGGGUGGGGGGAAUGGUUGUUGUCAUAAGAUUAAAUCCUCUAACAAAACUACCUAGGUUUUUGUGAGUUUUGUUAGUAAUGCUUCAAAAAUUCAAACCAGAAAUUGUCAGUUGCUAUGUGCUUAAUAUUUCUUCCCAUACCACAAAAUAACUAAGUUUCUUUAUGAGCUUAGUUUGGGAAUGUACAAUCUGACCAAGUUUGCAGAAUUAUUUCUUUAAGGCAAACAGUAAAUGCUGAAAUGAUGUAGGUAUUUUUCAGAAUUCCACCUGUUGUGUUUUAUGUUUCAAAGGUGCAAAUCACACAUUGCAGAUAACUUUCAGGCCCCAAUGUGCUUGAUAAAUUGAUUGUUUUCGAUCAGUUUGUGUUUGGGUUUUUUUGCGGCUCUUCUUUGAAGUAGCUGAGUUUUGAAAGUGUACAUGAAAUUUCUGAAUACAGACUUUGCUGAAAUAUAAAGGUGCUUUAGCAUAGGAGUUUCAUAGGAAUGUCAAAGGAAGUGACUUAAAAACAAAUUUUCUGUCACUAACAAGAUUGUAAAUUAUUAAAAUACUGAAUUUCUAGCUUAUCAUGUUUAAGGGCUAUGGGUUUUUUUGUGUUUUUCAGUCACCUUGGACAAGGACAGGCAGGUCAGUUUCACUUUUAGUUUCUCAUGCUAACAGGAGGCUGUGGUGCAUUUUUAGCAGUGCAGAGAAAUGUGAUAAUGUAAUUGACUUAUUUAAAUCAUUAUAUAUUGGAUUUUUCUUCUCAUAAUUCAACUUUUAGACUUAAACUCUGAGGGUUUUAUAAAAAAGGACUUUGACCCUUAACCAUAGUAUUACAUCUCAUUCUAUUAUUCAUCAGAAAGGUAAAUGUGAGGUCCUAAAAUCCUGACUCUGUAUACUGACAGUAUUAGUUUCUGAGUUAGGACUGAUCAUGGAUUUUAGUGCUAGGCCCUGACUGAAUUGCUUCUGAAGUCCAUUUGUGAUGACCUGUUUUCUCUGGAGGAAAAUAUUAAAAACUUAUGGAUGACCUCAAUGUUUUCAGCCACUCUUCUGUCAACAAGAUGUCCUGACUUGCACUGCUCAGUCACUAUUCUUAAUCAGUUUUACUCCAGUCAGUCUUCAAGAUAAACAGAAGGGUGUGUGUUAAAUAAAUAUGCAAAUGUUUAAGGCCACUGAUCACGCCAAGGUACUGUAGCACAAUUUCAGUACAUUUUGCACUGCAGAGUUAAUUAACAGAAUGGCAGGCAUAAGUUGCAUGGACUUCUAGGUAAAAUCUUAGCUUUGUGAAAUGUUGCCUCUUUCUUUAAACAAACAAACCCUCCCACUGAUAUGGCCUUCUGCCCAAGACUACUGCAGGCCAGAUGACAGGGUCCACAAUCCUACUUUCUGCCUAAUAGUCUUAGCACAUGCUGUUCAUGUCAGAGUGGGAGGAAUGCAGCAUUUUGAAUGUUGUGACUUCAUUACAUAUUAGUAGCAGAAAGCCCAUGCUGUUGCAUAAGUAUGAUGCUUGGGCCAAAUAAUCCAUCUAUUCAGUCUUCCUCAUACAACCAAUCAAACUGCUGCAUGCAAAUUAUCUGUUGAGUAAGGGUGGUGAUUGGUUGUUACCUCUAAUGUGGUGGUGAUCUAGGAUUCUUGGCAUGACAUAAAUACAUGCCUUGCUGUCAUGUGUGUAAUUUGUAAAGUCAAAAUGGCUAAGAAUUUAAAAAUUGGUUGGUAAUAGACUAUGAAUCCCAGUGAUGAUUGAACUUGGUGAUAUUCUGAACAAAAAAACCUCUCAGCCAUGUUCGUAGCUGUUUCAUCACUUCACACUGAUUCCACAGACGUUCUAGGCUUCAGAGCGAAACACAGAAACAGUCCUGGAAUCUUAUAAUAUUGACAGCUUCUCUUUAAAUGCAAAUCCAGUGUUCCAGUAUAGUCUUUGAGGUAUCCAGGUAACAGAAGAUAAGAACACAGCUGUUCUCCUAGAGUUUCAUGAAGUCUGUAAACAUCCUGACAUGCUCCCCAGGAGAAUCUUGAGGUUGCCAUGCAGAUGACAGCAGGAUGAGUUUCCUUGUCAGAUUGCACUGCUUAUCUGUGAAGGGUGACGGGCACCUGGACUGGAGUUAGGAGACUCUUCUGGUGCGAGGCUGACAGGAAAGUCUUAAGGAUAUCUAACCGAAAACAAGGGAAUUAAAAAGUAAAGCAGUGAACUAGGAGAAUAGUGAAUACCACAACUUGGAAUGUAUUUAUUACUUAAAACUAGCUACUCUUGAUAAAAUCCCAAAAAUUAUUGCUGCUGCUUAUUUUACUUACAGAUUUCACACACUUGUUAAUUUUAAAGCUACAAAACUUUUACUCUAUACUGUAUUCUAAGAAAUGUAAUUGGAGCAGGACAUGCAAUAGAAUGAAAUCAGUGUAGUGUCUUAAGUACAAUGGACUCACUUUUGUGUCAAUUAAAACUUGGAAAAUGUGCAACACAAUUAUGUGGCCAUUAUUGUGCACACUUUAAAGCUUUUCAGUGAUGUUUACUGCAGAGCUGAGAUAAUCAAUUAAGAACACUAUGAUUUCAAGCAUAUAAACAAGCAAUCAACUAGUAAUUCGGAUUGUGAGGUAUUCUAAAUUAAUCUGUGCAUCUUUCAGUGAUCCCUACACAUAUGCUGUACAUCCUAGAUGCAUUCAUCCUAAAUGCACUGAAGUGGCUAUUCACCUAAUGCAGUUCAUUAAUGAACUUAAUCUUGCAUUCACACUUUUCUCUUCAACCAGUGUAGCUUGUGGCCCAUUGAGAGUACAUGCUGAUUGAUAGGAAAAGGAUUUUUCCACCCUUAGCAUUGCUGAUAGUUACUGGUACUCUUUUUGAAAUGUUUAAAACAUUAAAGAAUGAAAGCCAAUUUAAAAAUCAACUGAAUUACAGUGAAGUUUGGGAUGUUUUCAGUAUCACUUAAACAAUAGCUUGGAUCUGAUCUUCCUUUUAUAUAACUUAAAAAAAAAAAAAACCCCACCCAAUAGCUCCAGUAUCUAGUAACAUAUAUCUGUGAUACUCAUUUUAGUAAUGGGGAGGAGAGUUCAAAAUUGCCUAAUACAGUUAACGUGGCUUGUAUAUACUAGAAUGAAACUAAGUGAAGUGUCAUUACAACAUAUGCUAUUUUGUAUUUUUUUUUCCAUAAAACCUUAGUCCAUGUCCCCUUACCAAAAAUAAAAAACUACAGUUAGGUUUGCUAACUCGGAAAUAUUAAUGGAAAGAGACAAAUAAAAGCUCAUGUUUUUUCUUGGCUCCCAUUGGUUCUUUAACAAUAUGAUGUUUCUAAUGGCCAAUAUUAAAGGGGCUAAAUUUUAAAACCUUUUCAAAAAGAAAUCCAUUGUACAUAAACAUUAUGAGCACCAUAGAUAUAGUGAGGUAGACACACAUGUCUGAAAAUGUAAAAAGUUUGUUUUACGUUUGUAUAUGCUGUUACUCUGAAUUUCACUUAUUCAGACAAUGAACGUGAACUAGUCAUUUGUACUAGUGUGGUAAGUUUCUAAUUUAACUAUAUUUCCCUUAACCAAAUACUGAUUUGUAAGAGUGGCAGUUCUCCCCGCCCCCCCCCCCUUUUUUUUUUUUUAGGAAAGUAUGUUUUUUUAAAAUUGUUUUUAAAAAAAACUUCAGCUAGACUUAAAUAUGAUGUCAGAGUCAAUUUUUUCCAAACUGAAAUCAGUUAGUCAUGUAUAGACUCAAUCAUUUCCCAUUAACAAAUUCUUAAUGAUUAAGUUAUUCUUUACUACACUUUUUAAUUAGCAUUUCUUUAAAUAGAGAUGUUUUAAUGGGUAAAUAGCUAUGUGCAGAUCUUUUCAAAACUAUUUUAGAUUACUCUCUCAAUGUGUCCCAACCUCUAUUUGGUUUGGAAUUCUAGUACUUGUUUCAUCCACAGAUAACUACAUUAGGUGCAAAUUAUGGGACUGGCUUUUACAAAGCUAGAAUCGCCUAUUUGCAAAGAGGGUGAGGUAUGGGCGAGAGAAGCCUAGAAUCAUAGAAUAUUAGGGUUGGAAGAGACCUCAGCAGGUCUCAGGAGAUCAGAGAGACCUCAGAAGAUCAAAGCCGCUUCCUCUUACCUUACAUUUUUAAUUUUUGAGCAGAGACACUUAAAUAUUUUGUAAUACUCAGCAAAAAUACACAAAUAUUCUCAGCAAAAAUACACAAAUAUUCCAAAGAAAUUUUCCCCAACAAACAGCUGUAACCAUGAGCCACAGAAUCGUAAUAUGCAAACUAAGAUGCAGCACUGAACAGAGACUCUUGCAAGGCCCAAUUCUGGCUACCCCAACAUGGUGCAAGAGGACAGCUGCAUAUGAAGAAAGGGAAGUGUUUCUGCACAUUGUAUAACUGCAUGUCAAAGCAGUUGUGCUUACCUGUUUACUUAAUGUCCCCAUCUUGGGAGAUGAGGUAGGCUGCUUGGCUUCUAGGUUAAGCUCCCCUUGCCCCUUUCUUCUUCACAGGCUUGUGUGCAUGGAGUUUUGCAGUGUUUUCUAGAGCUGCAUUUAAGGCUGGCUAUGUGCUUUGUGUAGUGAUCUUCUACUGUCUGCUCACACAGUUUCUCUUGAUCCUAUUGUACACCAGCCAAAAUGUGGUAUAAAGAUUUUGGGCUGUAGCAUUACAGCAGUUAACUGUAGGGAAGUUUUAAAAUAACUUGUCCAUAAAAACACGUUCACAUGAAACUUCUUUUCCAGCCUGUAAUAGUAUGUUAAGGGCUGUUUCUACCUGCCUUUCUGGAAAUGUAAAGGGAGCACUCACUUGCUAUUAGUGAUGCCAAGAAUAGCAGGUGAGUAAUUCUUGCUGUUUGCUAAACUUCUCAUGAAACCAAGUGAGACCAGAAAUACACAGGUAGAAGCAUGCUCACUAAGGCUGGUACUAUUUUCAUAGAGUUCACUCAAAAUGUGAUUCCCUGCCCUCCUUCCUCCCAGCAGAUAGUCAAUCUCCACUGGGGGGGGAAAGUAGUGAUACUUAAGACAGUGUUUUGCUUUGGAUUUGCGAUAGUGCUGCGUAUGAAUACAGAGAACCUGAAAUAGCCAAAAGUUUGAGAAGUGAUUUAAGUUAAAUGUAGUAUCUGUUCUUCUUCAACAUCUGAAAUGGUCCCUGGGUAGAGAGCCUAAAUUAAGUAGAAUUUUGAAACUGGGACAUGGAGUAGGAGCUUAUUCUAUUUCCUUUCCUUUCCUCCCCCCCCCCGUUUCCCCCCGCAAAUGCAGUGACCUAGCGUUGCAAUGCAUUUUCAGGAACAGCAUGUGUGCACACUUCUUCCCAAAAAGCCUGACGUGUGUGCCAUUUAAUGGUAACCUGUGUAUCUUCUGCCUGGCCUGGAUAAGGCACCAAUCUCUUAACACAGAGUUGAGUGCAUGUAACUUACACAGCACUUCUGAAAUUGUUGGGCCAUUUUUAGAUUAAGAUGACCUUGUAGCCUUCCCAUUUCCUUCUGUAAGUAAAGGCUGAUGUAAUUAACAGUCCUUCCAGGCUCCAGGUAAAUCCUCAGCAUUGGUUCCUGCUCCAGGUGGAAGGCUUGGUUUCUUAUUGUCUUCCUCCAUGUGCCACACGUGAAGGGCUAUAUCUCUUUGAUUAUUGAUUUUUGCAUAUUGUAGCUUUUGCCCAUGUGAUAUUAAAGAGGUAGCCUGGUAUACACCUGCAAUAAUGCAAAUGCUCCAUGAAUAAAGCAGAGCAGGUGAAAGCUCAACAUUG